GAUGAACGCUAGCGGGAGGCCUAACACAUGCAAGCCGAGCGGUAGAGUUUCUUCGGAAACUUGAGAGCGGCGCACGGGUGCGUAACACGUGUGCAACCUACCUUUAUCUGGGGGAUAGCCUUUCGAAAGGAAGAUUAAUACCCCAUAAUAUAAUGAUUGGCAUCAAUUAUUAUUGAAAACUCCGGUGGAUAGAGAUGGGCACGCGCAAGAUUAGAUAGUUGGUGAGGUAACGGCUCACCAAGUCAAUGAUCUUUAGGGGUCCUGAGAGGGAGAUCCCCCACACUGGUACGACGACCCGGACCAGACUCCUACGGGAGGCAGCAGUGAGGAAGAUUAGACAAUGGGUGAGAGCCUGAUCCAGCCAGCCCGCGUGAAGGAUGACGGUCCUAUGGAUUGUAAACUUCUUUUGAACAGGGAUAAACCUACCCUCGGGAGGGUAGCUGAAGGUACUGUACGAAUAAGCACCGGCUAACUCCGUG
rnacentral:rRNA from 1 species